rnacentral:rRNA from 1 species
CUGACGAGCCCUUUACUGACGCUAAAGCUCGAAGGUGCGGGUAUCGAACAGGAUUAGAUACCCUGGUAGUCCGCACGGUAAACGAUGGAUGCCCGCUGUAUGCGAUACAAUGUAUGCGGCCAAGCGAAAGCGUUAAGCAUCCCACCUGGGGAGUACGCCGGCAACGGUGAAACUCAAAGGAAUUGACGGGGGCCCGCACAAGCGGAGGAACAUGUGGUUUAAUUCGAUGAUACGCGAGGAACCUUACCCGGGCUUGAACUGCAGCAGAACGAUUCAGAGAUGAUGAGGCCCUUCGGGGCUGCUGUGGAGGUGCUGCAUGGUUGUCGUCAGCUCGUGCCGUGAGGUGUCGGCUUAAGUGCCAUAACGAGCGCAACCCCUUUCGCCAGUUGCCAUCAGGUGAUGCUGGGCACUCCGGCGACACUGCCACCGCAAGGUGUGAGGAAGGUGGGGAUGACGUCAAAUCAGCACGGCCCUUACGUCCGGGGCUACACACGUGGAACAAUGGUGUGUACAGAGAGUCAGGCGUUGGCAACACCGCCUUAAUCCAUAAAGCCAUCCUCAGUUCGGAUUGGGGUCUGCAACCCGACCCCAUGAAGCAGAU